GAUGAACGCUGGCGGCGUGCCUAAUACAUGCAAGUCGAGCGAACAGACGAGGAGCUUGCUCCUCUGACGUUAGCGGCGGACGGGUGAGUAACAUGUGGAUCACCUACCUAUAAGUCUGGGAUCACUUCGGAACACCGGAGCUUAUACCGGAUCAUAUAUUGAACCGCAUGGUUCAAUAGUGAAAGACGGUUUUGCUGUCACUUAUAGCUGCUUCCGCGCUGCAUUAUCUAGUUGGUACGGUCCCGGCUUACCACGGCGACGAUGCGUAGCAGACCUGCGAGGGUGAGCAGCCACACUGGAAGUGUGACACGGUCCAGACUCCUACGGGAGGCAGCAGUAGGGAAUCUGCCGCAAUGGGCGAAAGCUAGACGAAGCAACGCCGCGUGAGUGAUGAGGGUCUUCGGGUCGUAAAGCACUGUUAUUAGGGAAGAACAAGUGUGGAAGUAACUAGGCACGUGAGGGCGGUACCUAAUCAGAGAGGCACGGCUAACUACGUG
rnacentral:rRNA from 1 species